rnacentral:rRNA from 1 species
AUGGCGAAAUCAUCGUCAGCGACGGCGACGGCGACGGCGUCGGGCACUAAGAAGCGGAAGUCUAAAUCCGGGGCCCUCACCCACGAGGAGGUGAAGGCGCUCGGCCUCGAGCUCCUCUCCUCGCGCGCCCACCUCAACCACGCCCCCACCCUCCUCGCGCUCCUCUCCCCCACCGCGCCGCUCAGCAUCGCCCUCGAGGCGCUCAUCUCGCUCCAGUCCUUCUUCGAGCCCCUGCUCCCCUCCAUCCCCUCCGCCUCGGCCGCAGCCGCCGCCGCAGGAGGUGCGAGCGACGACCCCGAGCUCGUGUUUGGGGCGUGGCUGCGGCAGCGCUUCGAGGAGUUCGUUGCCGCGCUCGUGGAGCUCAGCGUGUCGCCGGAUAGCGACGAGGCGAUCAGGGAAGUGGCGCUUGAUGCGUUCAUGGAUUUCGUGAAGCUGGGGAAGGACGGGAGCUUCCACUCGGCAAUUUACCACAAGUUUCUCCACGCUGUGGUUCAUGCUACGAAUUCGAUUGAUGAUGUUCUAGAGUUGCUUGGGUCCAAGUACUCUAAGUAUGCUGACGUUUGUUUUUUUACUUAUACUAGCUUAGAUAAGAUCGCCAACAGUCUGGUCAGUCAAACCACUGGCUCUGGAAAAGAUGUCUUGCAGAAUGGGGAUGACGGGGCUGAAGACAGGAGCGCUAUCUGUGUACGCAAUGUAUACAAUAUUUUGGUGCAUGUUCCCGCAUUGGAUUUUAAGAAGGAAUCAAAGUUUGAUAUGUGGAGUACUGUUGGCCUUUCUUCAAAAGGAGAGAAGGACACCUCUGAGGGCUCUUCUGCUACGCGUAUAAGCAAAAAGCUAAAAUUGAAGUUCACCAAAGCAUGGUUGGCCUUUCUCAAGCUACCACUUCCACUUGAUGUCUACAAGGAGGUCCUUGCUACACUUCAUCAGAAUGUUAUUCCUUCAAUGUCAAACCCAGCCAUCUUGUGUGAUUUCUUGACUACAUCAUACGACAUUGGCGGUGUUAUCAGUGUGAUGGCCUUAAGUGGUCUAUUCAUCCUUAUGACACAGCAUCAGCUUGAAUAUCCAAAAUUCUAUGAUAAGCUCUAUGCAUUACUGACUCCUGCUGUGUUCAUGGCAAAACAUCGGUCAGUGUUCUUGCAACUUCUGGAUGCUUGUCUGAAAUCUUCGUAUCUUCAAGCAUAUCUUGUCGCUUCAUUUGCAAAACGAUUGAGUAGACUCGCCCUUUCAGUGCCACCAGCUGGAGCUCUUAUCAUCAUUGCUUUAAUUCAUAAUCUGCUGCGGAGGCACCCAUCAAUUAAUUUUUUGGUUCAUUGGGAAGUUGCUCAGGAUGAUGGAGAAGCUAGUUUACCUAAGAAGAUUGGCGCUGAUCCUUUUAACAAUGAAGAGACAGACCCUGCAAAAUCUGGCGCAAUGCGAAGUUCUUUGUGGGAAAUAGACACGCUGCGCCAUCACUACACUCCUGCAGUUUCAAGAUUUGUUGCGUCGCUUGAAACUGAUCUCACUGUUCGGGCCAAAACAAUGGAGAUGAAGAUCACAGACUUUAGUUCAGGCUCCUAUGCAACAGUUUUCCGAGAUGAGGCCCGGCGGCGGAUAAAACAAGUCCCACUUGCGUUCUACAGAAGUACGCCAACAUCUUUAUUUCAAGAGUCAGAUUUUCCUGGAUGGACCUUUGGGUGCCAGUCGAAUAGCGGGGCGCAAGCUAGCGUAGAAGGAAAUGCGGUCCACACACUAGAAACCGGUGAUGCCUCACCUGCUAAAAGGUCACGUGUGCAGAUCUCAGUAGGGCGAGACAGGGUGUAA